AUGCUCAAAAUUCUCCAAGCCAGGAUUCAACAAUACAUGAACCAUGAACUCGCUGCUGUUCAAGCUGGUUUUAGAAAAGGCAGAGGAACCAGAGAUCAAAUUGCCAUGAUCUGCUGGAUCAUGGAAAAAGCAAGAGAGUUCCAGAAAAACAUCUAUUUCUGCUUUAUUGACUAUGCCAAAGCCUUUGACUGUGUGGAUCACAAUAAACUGUGGAAAAUUCUGAAAGAGAUGGGAAUACCAGACCACCUAACCUGCCUCUUGAGAAAUCUGUAUGCAGGUCAGGAAGCAACAGUUAGAACUGGACAUGGAACAACAGACUGGUUCCAAAUAGGAAAAGGAGUACAUCAAGGCUGUAUAUUGUCACCCUGCUUAUUUCACUUAUAUGCAGAGUACAUCAUGAGAAAUGCUGGGCUGGAAGAAACACAAGCUGGAAUCAAGAUUGCCAGGAGAAAUAUCAAUAACCUCACAUAUGCAGAUGAUACCACCCUUAUGGCAGAAAGUGAAGAGGAACUAAAGAGCCUCUUGAUGAAAGUGAAAGAGGAGAGUGAAAAAGUUGGCUUAAAGCUCAACAUUCAGAAAACGAAGAUCAUGGCAUCUGGUCCCAUCACUUCAUGGGAACUAGAUGGGGAAACAGUGGAAACAGUGUCAGACUUAAUUUUGGGGGGCUCCAAAAUCACUGCAGAUGGUGAUUUUACUCAUGAAAUUAAAAGACGCUUACUCCUUGGAAGAAAAGUUAUGACCAACCUAGAUAGCAUAUUCAAAAGCAGAGACAUUACUUUGCCGACUAAGGUCUGUCUAGUCAAGGCUAUGGUUUUUCCUGUGGUCAUGUAUGGAUGUGAGAGUUGGGCUGUGAAGAAGGCUGAGCACCAAAGAAUUGAUGCUUUUGAACUAUGGUGUUGGAGAAGACUCUUGAGAGUCCCUUGGACUGCAAGGAGAUCCAACCAGUCCAUUCUGAAGGAGAUCAGCCUGGGGAUUUCUUUGGAAGGAAUGAUGCUAAAGCUGAAGCUCCAGUACUUUGGCCACCUCAUGAGAAGAGUUGACUCAUUGGAAAAGACUUUGAUGCUGGGAGGGAUUGGGGGCAGGAGGAGAAGGGAAUGA
rnacentral:lncRNA from 1 species